CUACCAUUAAAACAUGUUCUGGACUCCUGGUUGUGUCAUUCCUGCUGAAUACUGUUUUACUCUUCAAGGUGUUUCACAUACACAGGAAGUCAAAAACAUCCAGAGAGAUGACACACUUGGAGUUACAAGGUAGACAUCUGAUUAGUAAAUGAAUCAUUUUAGCACUUCGUGGGUCACCUGUUGACGUGUUUCUCCAGCUACAUAAUCACUCUCCAGUCAUCUGUUACUGCAUCCACACUCUCUAUGCACGACACAGUGCUGUUUUUAAAUCUGUGACUGGCAAUGUGCCUGACAUGCCCACACAGCUUGUGUAUUUAUCAGUUUCUAAUUGUAAUUGUCUUGAAUGUGCCUCUGUAACUGUUAUCCGUCAUCUAUCAGGUACAUGGGAUAUGUUUUAAGAAAUACUUAAAAUAUACCAUCAUUUGCAAUAGAAGAAACCCCCUCUUUUUAACACUUUAUUUUAUUCAUCUUGGUAUUUAUUAUCAUUGUUUUUAUUUGAUCUACUUACCCAUCCCCGGUUCUCUUUGUUCUGUCUAUUAUAUAUUUUUGUUUACACAACAAUAUUAUAACUAGUACAGAAAUUAUUGGGAAAAAAUCCAUCCC
rnacentral:lncRNA from 1 species